rnacentral:rRNA from 1 species
UCGCGAACGCUGGCGGCGUGCCUACACAUGCAAGUCGAGCGAUUUACUUCGGUAAAGAGCGGCGGACGGGUGAGUAACGCGUGGGUAACCUGCCUCAUACACAUGGAUAACAUACCGAAAGGUAUGCUAAUACAGGAUAAUAUAAGAGAUUCACAUGGAUUUUUUAUCAAAGCUCCGGCGGUAUGAGAUGGACCCGCGUCUGAUUAGCUAGUUGGUAAGGUAAUGGCUUACCAAGGCGACGAUCAGUAGCCGACCUGAGAGGGUGAUCGGCCACAUUGGAACUGAGACACGGUCCAAACUCCUACGGGAGGCAGCAGUGGGGAAUAUUGCACAAUGGGCGAAAGCCUGAUGCAGCAACGCCGCGUGAGUGAUGAAGGCCUUCGGGUCGUAAAACUCUGUCCUCAAGGAAGAUAAUGACGGUACUUGAGGAGGAAGCCCCGGCUAACUACGUGCCAGCCCGCCGCGGUACGCC